CUAGAACAAUUAUUUCAUCUUAGUUUGUUGAAGAUGAUACACACUCUCACUCCUCCCGUUUUUGCUAACAUAGAUCUUCAUAGAAACUGACUACUGGAGCAGGGAAGACAUUUACGCCUGUAUUCCCCCAGAGUUAGACAAAUUGCAUAUAUCACACCCCUGGAGUACAAUGUCAUAGAAGUAUGAACAAAGUUCAUGACUAUAGGCGAACAAGUUCUGGUUGCCACAGGUUACUUAUCUGUGAAUGAGCUCAGAAACGUUAUUUAUCUCUAGAAGCAGAAAAGAACUUCAAAUUAUGUGGCAUGCAGUCUUGGUAUAAAAGUUUCUGACAUAAAGAAAAAAACAUACCUUAAAACUACCAAAUAUCCUUUGCGAGAACACUUUUUGAGGAUUGUUUCGCUGAAAAUAUGCAGAUUACCCAUUUUGAUUGAGAUAUCCCAAAACUAUAUUGUGAGUACUACCCUCUCCCCCUCAUCGGGUCAGGUGUAUAUGCUAUUGUUUUUUUUUCUACCUGAAAUGUUUUGGAAGAACUUAACAUUGAGGCCAGAUGAACAGAAAAAACGAAAUCAAGUCAAAAUGUUGUGGCGAGAGAAUAGAAACGUUGAAAGUUGAAGCAGAACUGUUCGUUCCACAAUGUAUAGUUUCUGUACAGAAAUCAGUCGUCGUUCACUACUUCAACAUGGACUAAACAUCAUUUCACGUCAUCAUAAUCACUCACUUUUACAUUUGAACAUUUUUCCGUAAUAAAAUGUUUGUGUCUGUAAACUAUCACUUUCAUCAGACGGUCAAGAAGUUACAAAUGUGGUAUCCUUACCUGGCCACAUCUGAACUGUGUUCUACUUACGUUCCAAUCUGCACUGACACAGAGGUAAAACAUUUUCACAGGUGAACUAAUAAUAAUUAUCUACAUUUUUCUUGGAUAUAUGUUUAAACACAAGCAUAAUUUCACUGUGAAUUUGGAAAGUAUAAUUAACAAGUAAUUGAAUGAACAUAGAAUUUGCCAUUUCACCAUAAGCCUAAUGUCACUAAAUUCUAUGUAUUUAGAAAGUAUAGUUAAUAAG